rnacentral:lncRNA from 1 species
CAGCAAACUAGGAAUCGAAGAGAACUUCCUCAACAUGAUAAAGAACAUCUACAAAAUAUCCGGAACUAACAUUAUACUUCAUGGUGAAAAACUAGAUGCUUUCCUUCUAAAAUCAGGAACAAGGUAAUGAAGUUCAUUUUUACCACUUCUAUUCAACAGCACACUGGAAGUUUUAGCCACUGCAAUAAGAUGAGAAGAUUAAAUAAAAGGCAUAUGGAUUGGGAAGAAUGAAAUAAAACUAUCACUGUUCACAGGUGACAUGAUUGUGCAGAAAAUCCUAAAGGAUCAACAAUGAUAGCAAUGGAGCCUGUAACUAAUAAGCAAUUUCAUCAAGAUUCUAGAAUACAUAAUUAACAUGCAAAAAUCAAUCUGUUUUCCUCUAUCCUGGCAAUGAACAGUGGGAAUUUGAAAUUAAAAUACAAUACCAUUAGCAUAAAAGGAGCAAGAGGAUGAGGAGAGAUGAUAAAGUAUUGUCAGUGAUUUGAAUUUUAGACAUUCUGAUUGAUGUAAAGGAGUAUCUUGUGGUUUUUAUUUUAAAUUUCCCUGUGAUAUGUGAUAGUGAUCAUCUUUUCAUAUGUUUAUUUGCCAUUUUUUGGUGAGAUAUCUUUUCAGAUUUUUCUGCCCAAUGUAACAAAUGUACUACAUUAAAACAAUAUAUUAAUAAUAAGAGAUAUUGUGGUGGGAAGAUGGUAAAUGGGAGCUCUGUAAUUUCUGAUAAGGUUGUCUGAAAACUUAAAUAAGAACUAUUAAUUAGGGGCUGAGGUUGUGGCUCAGUGGUAGAGCACUUGUCUUGCAUGUGUGAGGCCCUGGGGUCAAUCCUCAGCACCAUGUUAAACAAAACAAAACAAUCAAAUAAAUAAAUGUAUUUUUUUUUAAAAAAGAACUGUUAAUUUAAAAAAGGCACAUCUAAACCCUAACAUAGCAAUUAUUGCAUUAAAUGUAAAUGGUUUAAAUAUACACAUUAAAAGUUAGGGACUGGAAUAUGGAUUAAAAAAGGUGAUCCAAGUGUAUGUUCUCUAUAGAAACUCACUUCAAAUUUAACAAAAUGGCCAGGUUAAAAGUAAUAAUAUGUAAAAAGAUAUGUAAAGACUAAUCAAUGGAAAGAAGGAAUGGUUAUAAUAUCGUUAGAUAAAAUGAACUUUAGAACAAUGAAAAGUACCAGGGGCAGAGAGUGAUAUCAUAUAACUAUAAAAAAUAUUUCACUAAGAAGUCAUAAUCAUCCUAAUAUGUAUAUACCAAACAGCAGAGCUGUGAAGUAGGAGAAGCAAGACUGAUAAGACCAAAAGGACAAAUAGACAAAUCCAUAAUCACAAUUAGAAAGUUCAAAUCUUCUGUUAACAAUUAAUAGAGUAAUAAUGAAAAAUCAGUUAAAAAAUUAGAAGCAUUCAACAGCCUCAUUAACCAAGAGGACCUAAUUGAUAUUUAUGGAAAAUUCCCUAUGACAACAGGGAAAUACAUAUUCUUUUCAAAUAUCCAUUAGUACAUAUACAAAAGUAGACUCUUGGCUGGAAAACAAAUCUCAACAACCUUAAAGGAACUGAGAUGAUAGAGUAUGUUCUUCAAUCACAGUGAAACCAAGCCAGAAAUUAGUAAUAAAAUAAUAGGAAAAAAUUCAAACUCUUGAAAACCAAAGACACUUCCAAACAAUCCACAGGUAAAAGAGGAGCUCUUAAGGAAAAAAAAAAAUUAAAUACAUUGAAUUGAAUGAAAAUGAAAAUACAAUUCAUAAUUUUGUGGGAUAUGGAUAAAGUAGCACUGAGAGGAAGAUUCAUAGCAUUGAGUCAAAUAUUAGAAAAGACAACAUGUUUCAAAUUAAUCAUCUAAACAUCCAUCUUAAGAAUCUACAAAAAGAAACGUAAAAUAAACCUGAAGCAAUUAGAAGGAGGGAAAUGAAACAGAUCAAGCAGAAAUAAAUAAAAUUGAAAACAGAUCAAUAACACAAAACUGGUUCUUUGCAAAGAUCAAUAAAAAUUACAGACCUGUGUCAAAACUAACAAAGGAAAACAAAAGAAACAGAGAUAAUGCAGAAACCACCAAUAAGAGAAAUGAAGCAGAGUGUAUCACUACAGCUCCUGCACAUAUUAAAAGGAUAAGAGAAUACCACAAACAACUCUAUUCCAAUUAAUUUUAACCUUAGGUGAAAUGGGCCUAUUCUUCAAAAAACACAAACUACCGCAACUUAUCCAUUACGAAAAAAGAUAAUUUGAGCUGGGCACAGUGGUGCUCCCUGUAAUCCCAGCAGCUCCAGAGGCUUAGGCAGGAGGAUUGCUAGUUCAAAGCCAGCCUCAGUAAAAGUGAGGCACUAAGCAAUUCAGU